AAUGUUCUUAGUGGCGAACGGGUGAGUAACGCGUAGGCAACCUGCCUUCUGGUUGGGGACAACAUUCCGAAAGGGAUGCUAAUACCGAAUGUGAUCCUUCUUUCGCAUGAAGGAAGGAUGAAAGAUGGCCUCUACUUGUAAGCUAUCGCCAGAAGAUGGGCCUGCGUCUGAUUAGUUAGUAGGUGGGGUAACGGCUCACCUAGGCGAUGAUCAGUAGCCGGACUGAGAGGUUGAACGGCCACAUUGGGACUGAGAUACGGCCCAGACUCC
rnacentral:rRNA from 1 species